GAUGAAUAACGUAGCGAAAUGCGAUAAGUAAUGUGAAUUGCAGAAUUCAGUGAAUCAUCGAAUCUUUGAACGCACAUUGCGCCCGCCAGUAUUCUGGCGGGCAUGCCUGUUCGAGCGUCAUUACAACCCUCAGGCCCCCGGGCCUGGCGUUGGGGAUCGGCGGAGCCCCCCGUGGGCACACGCCGUCCCCCAAAUGCAGUGGCGGUCCCGCCGCAGCUUCCAUCGCGUAGUAGCUAACACCUCGCGACUGGAGAGCGGCGCGGCCACGCCGUAAAACACCCAACUCUUCUGAAGUUGACCUCGAAUCAGGUAGGAAUACCCGCUGAACUUAAGCACAUCAAUAAGCGGAGGA
rnacentral:misc_RNA from 1 species